rnacentral:rRNA from 1 species
AGUGAACGCUGGCGGUAGGCCUAACACAUGCAAGUCGAACGGCAGCACAGUAAGAGCUUGCUCUUACGGGUGGCGAGUGUCGGACGGGUGAGGAAUACAUCGGAAUCUACUUUUUCGUGGGUGAUAACGUAGGGAAACUUACGCUAAUACCGCAUACGACCUACGGGUGAAAGCAGGGGAUCUUCGGACCUUGCGCGAUUGAAUGAGCCUAUGUCGGAUUAGCUAGUUGGCGGGGUAAAGGCCCACCAAGGCGACGAUCCGUAGCUGGUCUGAGAGGAUGAUCAGCCACACUGGAACUGAGACACGGUCCAGACUCCUACAGGAGGCAGCAGUGGGGAAUAUUGGACAAUGGGCGCAAGCCUGAUCCAGCCAUACCGCGUGGGUGAAGAAGGCCUUCGGGUUGUAAAGCGCUUUUGUUGGGAAAGAAAAGCAGCAGGUUAAUACCCCGCUGUUAUGACGGUACCCAAAGAAUAAGCACCGGCUAACUUCGUG